UGCAUUCACUACUGUGAGUCGCUCUGGAUAAGAGCGUCUGCUAAAUGACAAAAA
rfam:Salmo salar isolate Sally breed double haploid chromosome ssa29, whole genome shotgun sequence.